GCGGCGGGCGGGCGGCGGGCGGAAGGCAUCACUUUGUCCGGACUCUAAUUCAAAUUGUAUUCAUCCGAUCUUCACCAAACUUGGUCAGCAGUUGCAUCUAGUUGAUAUCUAGGCCAAGUUCGAAUAUGGGUCAUGCCGGGUCAAAAACUAGGUCAUAGGGUCAAUAAGUGCAUUUUCAAAGGGGCCACUUUGUCCGGACUCUAUUUCAAAUUGUAUUCAUCCGAUCUUCACCAAACUUGGUCAGCAGUUGCAUCUAGUUGAUAUAUAGGCCAAGUUCGAAUAUGGGUCAUGCCGGGUCAAAAACUAGGUCAUAGGGUCAAUUAGUGCAUUUUCAACGGCGCCACUUUGUCCGGACUCUAAUUCAAAUUGUAUUCAUCCGAAACUUUUAAACAACUUUUUAUCCUGCGUCAAAGUGGUAUGGGGGUAUAAGUCACAUUCAGUGACAAAGCUCUAGUUCAAGUUGAAUUCACCAAACUUGGUCAGAGGUAGUAUAUAGAUUAUAUAUCAGUCAGGUCUGAUUGGAGACAUGCAACCGAUUAACACAUGCAAUAUUUUUAUGCAAUAUUUUUAUCCAGUUUUAUUUUGCGAUAUUUUCAUCGGGUUUAUUUUUUUCGCGAUUUUUGAAACGAGUUAUUUUUAACAACAUGUUUAUUGGUAAGUUUCAUU